AGCGAACGUUAGCGGCGGGCUUAACACAUGCAAGUCGAGCGAGAAAGGGGCUUCGGCCCUGAGUACAGCGGCGGACGGGUGAAUAACACGUAGGUAACCUUCCUUCCAGCGGGGGACAACGGUCCGAAAGGACCGCUAAUACCGCAUACGUUCCCUGGGACCCUGGUCCCGGGGAGGAAAGCUCCGCAAGGGGCACUGGAUGAGGGGCCUGCGUAGCAUCAGCUAGUUGGUGGGGUAAUGGCCUACCAAGGCUAAGACGCUUAGCUGGUCUGAGAGGAUGAUCAGCCACACUGGGACUGAGACACGGCCCAGACUCCUACGGGAGGCAGCAGUGGGGAAUAUUGGACAAUGGGCGCAAGCCUGAUCCAGCCACGCCGCGUGAGUGAUGAAGGCCUU
rnacentral:rRNA from 1 species